CCCUUAGAUGUUCUGGGCCGCACGCGCGCUACACUGAUGCAUUCAACGAGUUUACAACCUCGACCGAAAGGUCUGGGUAACCUUUUGAACUUGCAUCGUGAUGGGGAUAGAUUAUUGCAAUUAUUAAUCUUCAACGAGGAAUUCCUAGUAAGCGCAUGUCAUCAGCGUGCGUUGAUUACGUCCCUGCCCUUUGUACACACCGCCCGUCGCUCCUACCGAUUGAAUGAUUUAGUGAGGACUUCGGACUGGGACCGAUGCGGCUUUCGGGCUGCGUCGGUAUUCUGGAAAGAUGUCCAAACUGUAUCAUUUAGAGGAAGUAAAAGUCGUAACA
rnacentral:rRNA from 1 species